ACCUUGUGGCUAAUACACGCAAGCAGAUGUCUGCCACAUCAUGGGUUCAGCCCUGCUGUUUCCCAGUGGUGGACUGCAAACAGCUCCUGAAAGACCAGCGCCCUAACAGGGCAGUGUUGACUUGGUGAAUCAGGCUGUUCCAAAGGGACAUUGCACUGGCAGCUAACAGGCCUGUUUACAGGCAUGCUUGAUCGCAUGAACUUCUGACCUAUCAGCUUUGACUGUGGUGCAGUGGACCACAGUGGCCUUGACGGGUAACGGAGAAUCAGGGUUCGAUUCCGGAGAGGGAGCCUGAGAAACGGCUACCACUACCAAGGUGGGCAGCAGGCGCGCAAAUUGCCCAAUACAAAGCCAGCUUGUGAGGCAGCAACGAACUGCAGCAAUCAUGCCCACUUACGUGGGUUCGACUUGGAAUGGAUGCUAUCCAAACACAGCCAUGAGUAACAAGUGGAGGGCAAGUCUGGUGCCAGCAGCUGCGGUAAUUCCAGCUCCAUUGGCGUAUACUAACAUUGCUGCUGUUAAAACACUCGUAGUCUGCCACAGGGUCCAGGUCUGGCAGAUGGCUGGCCUGUGGUGCUUCGGCAUUGCAGGCUGGGUAAAACCUCUGUCAGUAUGUCCUGGUCCCAACACUGGAUGCUGAGAUGCUCCUGCAUGAAGCCCUCUUAAGUGAGGGUCAAGGCUAUUCUGCAGUCAGCGCUUGUCUGGGCAGUUCAGGGGCGUAACCUUGUGUUGCCAAUCUUACCCUGGCCCAUAAUCGGAGUUCAGCAUCAGAGCAACCCUGGUAAACUCAGUGUGCUUCAAGCAACCGUUCUGGCUUGUAUGCCAUCCAGUGAAUUGCAGAGCAGCGAUCAGACUUGGCUAAGAGUUGUGCUGGCCUUGGUGCCAAAUCUGAGCAAUGUGGGGCUUCCCCCUGACUGUGGCCUAGCCUCGGCGACAGCCUAUGCCCAGGUGGGGAGUCACCAACCGGACAUGAUGGAAGAGUUCAGAGUGGAAGAUACUGCAGCGCCAGAGGUGAAAUUCUUAGACCGCUGCAAGAUCAACUGCAGCGAAGGCGUUCUGCAAGAGCUCGUUCGUCGAUCAAGAAUGAGAGUGUGGGGAACAAAGAUGAUCAGACACCGUCGUAGUCCACUACAGUAAACCAUGCCAGCCAGGCUUUGGUGAGGCAAGAACCUCUACUUCAUCAGUGCCAUGCCCCCUACACCGAGAAAUCCACAGCCUGUGGGUUCAGGGGGGAGUACUGACGCAAGGCAGAAACUUAAAGGAAUUGACGGAAUGGCACCACAAGGCGUGGAAUAUGCGGCUUAAUUUGACCCAACACGGGGAAUGUUACCAGGUCAGGACACUGUCAGGAUGGACAGAUUGAGAGCUCUUUCUUGAUCCAGUGGAUGGUGGUGCAUGGCCGCUCCUGAUCGGUGGAGUGAUUUGUCUGGUUGAUUCCGAUAACGGGUGAGAUAUCUGCCUUCCAAUAGCCC
rnacentral:rRNA from 1 species